GAAUUGACGGGGGCCCGCACAAGCGGUGGCGCAUGUGGUUUAAUUCGAUGCAACGAGAAGAACCUUACCUACUCUUGACAUCCAGAGAACUUUUCAGAGAUGGAUUGGUGCCUUCGGGAACUCUGAGACAGGUGCUGCAUGGCUGUCGUCAGCUCGUGUUGUGAAAUGUUGGGUUAAGUCCCGCAACGAGCGCAACCCUUAUCCUUGUUUGCCAGCGAGUAAUGUCGGGAACUCCAGGGAGACUGCCGGUGAUAAACCGGAGGAAGGUGGGGACGACGUCAAGUCAUCAUGGCCCUUACGAGUAGGGCUACACACGUGCUACAAUGGCGCAUACAGAGGGCAGCAAGCUAGCGAUAGUGAGCGAAUCCCAAAAAGUGCGUCGUAGUCCGGAUUGGAGUCUGCAACUCGACUCCAUGAAGUCGGAAUCGCUAGUAAUCGUGAUCA
rnacentral:rRNA from 1 species